rnacentral:lncRNA from 10 species
AAUUAGUAAUAGGAAAAACCCAGAAAGAGACAGAGAGAAAGGGGGGAAAAAAUCCUCUGAGAACCCUGGUAUAUGUGGCCGGCUAAUUCAAAAAAGUCCCAGAAAGUACUCUGUGAUCAAAGGUGGCACACUCUCUUCCUGUAGGCAUGGGACAAAUCAGAAAUGAUGAAAAAAUGCAUCACUUCAAGUUUCAAAAUGCAGUUGGAGCAAAAUAGGAAGUAGUAAAGAUUCCUUGAAAUCUAUUUCAGAGCUGUUCCUUUGGGGCUAUGAAAUAAAAGACAAGACUGGUAGAAAUGACUUAAAAUGCAAAAAUGGCAAAGGAGACCAAGAGUGUUGCUAUGG